UCCAAGCUCCGGAAAUCAUAUGAUUCUCCGCACACCCUCUGUAGAAAACUCAUACCGUGUCACUGGAAAGCUCAUACGAUUUUCCGCACAUCCUCUGUGGACAGAAUCUUUGUCGAAGUCAUUGCCAAAACCCACCCAGGAACCCGUGAUAUGAAGAAGGUGACUUCAACCACACAAAUAAGAUCGAGUGAUCGAUUACGGGCAGCACGCAUAACUGGGAAAAAAAUGAAAACCACAUCGAACAUAACUCUGGACAGUGAUGACAAGGAGACAAAUGGAAUAAUGCACGAGGAGGAAUAGGCUAGGAAAUUGGAUUCAUCGAAAGAAAAGUCAAGGAAAAAUUCUGGCAAGAAAAGGAAAUCGGUAACCACUGAAAAUACCACCCCAAAAAACAAACAAAGAACAAGGUAAGUUUAUACAAGAUUUUAGCUGCUUGUUUCACUAUCGUUUUGUUUAAGACUAUGUUCAGCCAAUGCAAAGGGAGAAGAAACACAAAAAGAAGGAGAGAUUUAUUAGGGAAGAAGACAUGGAACAUAAUGUUGAAGUG